GCAAAACAUAACAUCUUUCAUUGACGGGAGAGCUGAGUUGUGAAGGAGUGCUUCUGCUGCAGAGGUCUUACUCAAAGAAGCUAGUCUGUUCGAUUCACCGUACGGCCAAAUGAGGUUGGGACCUUCGCUGUGACAAAAAAGUGCAAAAAAGUGCGGAGAGAGGAUCAAAGGUGUCUGUCGCCAAGAACGUGGGUGGGUAUGAUGGUCCAGAAGAAGUCUGCUGCAGUUGCAAUGCACAUUUCUCCACACUACUGAAGAACCUGAUGGACUCCAUAAUGUGGCGGGCGCCAAAACAAAGCCAGGAAGAGGAACAACGAGGAUGGUGAUGAACAUCUUCACACCAGCUUUGCCAUGCCAUUCUUGAAAGGUAAAACAUGAGCCCAUGACACAGGACUCUUUUCAAGGCUCC